rnacentral:sRNA from 1 species
GCCAGGUGUUGUGGUGCAUGCCUGUAAUCCCAGCAUCUUGGGAGGCUGAGGCAGGAGGAUCUCAAGUUCAGGGCCAGCCUCAGCAACUUAGCAAAGCCCUAAGCAACUUGGUGAAGCCCUGUCUCUA